GAUGAACACUGGCGGCGUGCCUAACACAUGCAAGUCGAGCGAUCUUCUUCGGAAGAGAGCGGCGGACGGGUGAGUAACGCGUGGGUAACCUGCCCUGUACACACGGAUAACAUACCGAAAGGUAUGCUAAUACGAGAUAAUAUGCUUUUAUCGCAAGGUAGAAGUAUCAAAGCUCCGGCGGUACAGGAUGGACCCGCGUCUGAUUAGCUAGUUGGUAAGGUAAUGGCUUACCAAGGCGACGAUCAGUAGCCGACCUGAGAGGGUGAUCGGCCACAUUGGAACUGAGACACGGUCCAAACUCCUACGGGAGGCAGCAGUGGGGAAUAUUGCACAAUGGGCGAAAGCCUGAUGCAGCAACGCCGCGUGAGCGAUGAAGGCCUUCGGGUUGUAAAGCUCUGUCCUCAAGGAAGAUAAUGACGGUACUUGAGGAGGAAGCCCCGGCUAACUACGUGCCAGCCGCCGCCGUAA
rnacentral:rRNA from 1 species